rnacentral:rRNA from 1 species
UACGUAGGGAGCAAGCGUUUGUCCGGAAUCAUUGGGCGUAAAGCGCGCGUAGGUGGCUUCGUAAGUCCGUUGUGAAAGUCAAAGGCUACAACCUUUGAAAGCCGAUGGAUACUGUGGAAGCUAGAGUACGGAAGAGGCGAGUGGAAUUCCUGGUGUAGCGGUGGAAUGCGCAGAUAUCAGGAGGAACACCAAUAGGCGAAGGCAGCUCGCUGGGACGUUACUGACACUGAGGCGCGAAAGCGUGGGGGAGCAAACGG